GGACCCGCACAAGCGGUGGAGCAUGUGGUUUAAUUCGAAGCAACGCGAAGAACCUUACCAAAUCUUGACAUCCUUUUGACCGGUACUUAAUCGUACCUUCUCUUCGGAGCAGAAGUGACAGGUGGUGCAUGGUUGUCGUCAGCUCGUGUCGUGAGAUGUUGGGUUAAGUCCCGCAACGAGCGCAACCCUUAUCUUUAGUAGCCAGCAUUUCGGAUGGGCACUCUAGAGAGACUGCCGGGGAUAACCCGGAGGAAGGUGGGGAUGACGUCAAAUCAUCAUGCCCCUUAUGAUUUGGGCUACACACGUGCUACAAUGGCGUAAACAAAGGGAAGCGACCCUGUGAAGGUGAGCAAAUCUCAAAAAUAACGUCUCAGUUCGGAUUGUAGUCUGCAACUCGACUACAUGAAGCUGGAAUCGCUAGUAAUCGCGAAUCAGAAUGUCGCGGUGAAUACGUUCCCGGGUCUU
rnacentral:rRNA from 1 species